UGAAAUUAGCGCUGUGGAACCACCCGAUCCCAUCCCGAACUCGGAAGUGAAACGCAGCUGCGCCGAUGGUAGUGUGGCUCAAGCCAUGCGAGAGUAGGUCAUCGCCAGGG
rnacentral:rRNA from 1 species